CUCUCAUCGUCGUCGUCAUCAACAUCACCAUCAUCACACGGUUGUUGUUAUUCCAUCAAAAAAAAAAAAAAAUACGUAAAGAAACACAAGAACAGCAGCAACACAACAGUCAGGAAUAAAACACACCGAAUAACACACAAAAACAAAAAUAAUAAAAAUGUACAAAAAAGAAAUAAACAAACACACACACAUUCACUCAAUAAAUCGCUCGCUCACAUAGAUACAGAUAGAGGAAACACACGAAAAAAAAAAGAAUCAUUCUACAUUCUCUAUAUGAUUCGUGCACAUUCACAAAAUGUUACACUAAAAUCAAGUACAACAGCAACAUACAUUUUGAAUGUGGUAUAAAAAUUCACGGGCUGACUGGCUACUCACUCAUUCACUUACUUACUUACCUACCACUCGGCAGCAGGCCAGCUAUCCAGCUAGAAGCAACACAUCAAAAUCAACCAAAAUACAAAUUAAAUACAAGUGUUGUCAACAACUGUUAAAAUGUUAGUAAUUGUCGAACGGCGCGAAAAGUUUUCAAGCGCUUAGAUAUCAUUUCGGCUAACGGCAAGCGCUACAAAGACAUGAUUACGUACAGUUUAUGGGCUUAAAGGGAAGACAUAAACUUGGAUAAUCUUUGGAUUCAACAAAAUGACAAAAUCCAGUCACAUAGCUUAUCAUAUAAUCGAUCAUUUGCGUACAGAGUUCGCUAAUCGUUGUUAUCAACCGUCUCGGCGAUGUUAACGGAGGGAAGUACCCAGAAACCCUUGAGACUAAUAUUGACUGAGGCAUUCGAAGAAACCUUCAACAAAAUAUAGGAAAUUUGUUCUAACAGGAGAAGGAAUAGUGAAGCCAGCUGGGUCAGAUAUAUAAAUCGAAUGGAAAGAUUUGUUCUUUCAACAAUGGAUGCCGCGACCAAAGAAUUACUCAUCUUUAUAGGCCAAGAAUGAAUCAAGUCAAUUUCGGUUAUCGUGUUAUAAAGAGAAGCGUAUCCUAGAGAGAGAGAGAAAGCGUUCCGCACCCAUCGAAACAAAUAUAAAUCAGACGGAGCAAGGUCUGGACUAUAAGGCGGCUUUCAGGUUCUUCUUUGGCCAAUGCAGGCUUCAGAUACCCUGGGAUGUAAUGGCUCGAUUUCAGCAGCUCUUCUGGUCCCAACAAAACGCCAUAGAUAUUUGGCUUUGUUUUCGAAUCGGCUGCUUCCGGUUAUCAUAAUUGAUGCAUUUUUUAUCGUAUAUCGACUUCCAUUCGUUUGGUACUCAAUGAAUGAAUCCUGCUGCUCGCAAAAAAUGCUGCUGUAGUAGCUCCCAAUGAUUUUGCCAACUCUUCUUGAGUUUGACAACAAUCUUUAUCUCACUCUUUGUGCAUCAAAUUCUUGGUCUGGCCUGGGCGAUCUUUGUCUUCCGUGUCAAAAUCACCACUUCUGAACCGCACAAAUCAUAUUUCGCCAGAUGGAACACAUUCACGGAAUUGACCAAAACUUGGCACAGAAAUUGAUUUUUUUCACUACACUCUUCUCUUCUUCAGCUUCUCUAUCUCCUGAAAAAAUGUUAUUUAGUCAAUUUUUAUUAAGCGUCAAACGAACUAUUUAUUUCGAUUUUUUACAAGUAAGUAGUAAUGAUUUCUAUUUAUCAUUUUCAAAGGAUAUCCCUUUCAGUAACUGAGACCCAUAUUAAUUUGCCAGACUGUUGUCUGUGGUGUCAAGGUCCUUUUCUGUGAAGGACUUUCUUUGAUGUCCUACAAGUAAGUAUUAAAAAUGAAAAUUGUUCCUCUGAGUAACAGUUUCGUUUAUUAAUGGAUUCCUCGAGAAUUUCAAAUGCUUUAAAGUUUUGAAUCCCGUAAUAAAUCGAGAAAGUGUUGUCUGAUUUGAAACAUUAAGAGUUGAAAGAUUUUAUAGCGAGUUAAAACUAGAAUUCUAGAUGAAAUGGCAUUGAUGGCAUACAUUUUCAUCUGAAACCGUUCACAUUAUAAUGGAGACCAAGCGUUUCAUUUUAUCAUAGAAAAAUCCAGAGCCCAUUCAAUUUUAAAACCAUCGGUGUAGAAUAAGAUCGCGAAAGCCUUAUCAUUUCGACAUAGUGUAUUUGAGAGUUUUCAUCAGUGAUUGCACUGCUGUUUAACAAUUUACGAUCAUGUCUCUGACCAUAGAACCAAAAUGAAUUUGUAGGACAAUCUGAUGGAGAUCUAACUUAUCAUUUUAUUAGAGAAAAAUUCAUUUUAAAAACAUCAUCAAUUCCGUUUUUUUCAAAAUUUGCCCUUAAGCAUUAAAAAGCUUAACUUUCUGAUCCUAGAACCGAUUUCAUUUCAAUUAUUUUAUGGGCACUUUUUCACGUCAUCAAAUGGAAUCUCUAUUGUAAUGAGUAUCCGAUUUCGAGAGGAUUAUACAAAAUUUCUCUUGUGAUGAUUUUACUCUCGACAAAGAGAAACAAAACGGUUGUACAAUGUUUUUUAGAUCACCGUUUUUUGCGUGAUUGUUUAAGGCACCCUAUGCUGUCUCUCUGUCUAUGCCAAUACGCUCCAAGUACGAAGGACAAUCUACAUUUCAAUUCAUUGAAAUUUGGAAGCUUACUUUUUCCAUGUUAUUCAAUGGUAUCAUUAUUGGAUUAGGUUCCCUAUUCCGAACAUAUCAUUGAAAAGCGCUCUCUCAUAGAACUCGUAGAAGAAUUUAUAUGAUUAGACUACUACUAAGAUUUUUAGUCGAUCCUUUCCGCUUCCAUGUUCUUCAAGAAGGCAAAACCCAAGGUGUGAUCUAAGCGACUACGAGAUAUGAUCCAUUCUUCAGUUAUCUAGCUAUUGCUGCGAUCAAAAGUCAUUGACUUCAACUCCCUAUUAUAAAGGUGUAGAGGUCAUAAGUGUAGGCUAAGAUCGUGAAACCCUUAUUAUUUCGACAUAGUGUUUAGAUUUGAGAGUUUUUAUAGAGUUUCUAGUCUUGAAUUCUACGCGAAGCCGCAUAGAUAACGUAAAUUUUCAUCUGAAAGACGAUAUAAGUAUUACACGUUUUUAUCAUUAUGAUUUGAUUGCACUGUUUUUUCAGAACUUGAAAUCAUGUCUCUGAUCCUAGAACCAAGAUGCAUUUGUCGGGUUUUCAGGACAAGUAUUAAUAGCGAAAUUGCAUAAAGAGUCAACACAUAGAGCUAGUACUGGCAAGCUGUAGGUCUUAAUAAAUUUAUUGACGAUACAAUUAUUCAUGUAAGUUGCGCCAUGAAUACUAAACAUAAUUAUGUCAGUGUUUUAUGCCAAAGUAAUGUCAAAAAUUGUUAUAUCAAAACCAAAAUGUUGUUUUCUUUCCCCAAAAACCAACCUAGUCGACAACACUGAAAACCUACUAGCUUUUACUCUUCUUAAUACACUGAGUUCAUUUUCAACAAUCAAACAACAAAUGUGAGUGUUUGUGUGAAUAAAAAGGAAUUGAAACGAAAAAAAUUCAAUUCCGCCACCGUUAAAAAAAAAAAGAAACGAAAACUCCCAACAAAAGAAUUAGAAUAAAAAGCAUUUAAAUAUGUGGCAAUACACAACAACCCACAAUAAAGUUGAAGAAAAAAACACGUAAAAAGUUUUGAAUAUUCAUGGCAAAGAAAAAUAUAGACAGACUAAAUGUCUCCUGCUAUACGUUCAAAACGUUCAAUGUUGCAACAUUUUGCCUCUACGUGUGUUUUAAUAAAUUAUGUAUAAAUUAUUUCCAUAUUGGUAAGAGUGUGCGGAGUCUCUUUUAUGUUGUUGUUAAAAUGUUAUUAUGUUACGUUUGUAAUGUUUGUUGCAACUUGCAAUGCACAGUGACUUAGAGUUUGUUUAUUGUAAUAUGGCAUCGUCAUCACCAUUAUCAACGUCAUCCUACUUGGCCAGUGAGAGUGUAAAUAAAUUCCAUAAAUAGUCCGCCAGUUGUCGGUGGAAAAGGAAAAAAAAAAAAACAACAACACAACCAGAAAUUGCCCGCCAGAAAUUUUACACACGCAUUUGUAGUUUUUUUUUAUGGUUUGUUUGCAGAGUUGUUGCCAGAUUAAAUACUAAUUCGCUUUUAAGUGGCAACAGUUCUUUAAGUGUUUGUAAGUAUGAGUUGAUAGUUAUUAUUGGCUGUAUUAGCAAGUGCGAAAGUUAUACAGUUUAUAAUGGUGGGAGAGUAAGUCUUUGAAAGAUUUUUGUAUGCUAAACUGCACUCUUUUGGCCGAAUGAAAUCAAGAAGUCAAGAGGACAGAAUGAGGCGUGGUAAACUGUUUUCUUUGGGGAAAUAACUGAUUUCGAUAUGUUAACAUGUUUAUUAAUGGUAUUUAUUUGUUUUUAAAACAUGUUCUGUAAUGAAUAUCUAAGAAGAGCUGAGACUUAUUCCUUUUCUCUUUCUGACAUUCUAGAUUUGAUUCACUUAGAUUACACAUCUUUUUUGAAGAACGCAAGUCCACCACCACUCGAAACUUACAUUUUAAAACCUCUAGUCAAUCUUUGUGUGAUACUUGGAAGAUCAUUACGAAAUCGGAACUUAUAAAAGAACAAGGUAUACACUUUGUUUCACCCUUUAAACUGUUCAUAGCCUAAGGAUUAUCUGUACAACCUGAUGUUUAUUGCUGAUAACAUAAAAAAACUGAUCAUUUGCUAAAAAAAGAUAAAUCUUUUAAAUUGUGAUACAAUUCAAAUCGUUGGUUUAACUUUCAUGAUUUUUUGAAACGUUAAAAAGAACCUAAACUAAAGACAGGCUCUCAAACUCAUCAAACAAUUGAAACAUACUUUUUACUGUGAAAUCUAAAACAAUUCCUUGCAAAAUAAAGGGCCAAUUAAUUGUCCACAAAAGAAAUAGAAAACAAAAGAAACAGAAAAGAACAAAAAAUAAAACUGAAUCUUUUAUCUUGCAGACACAUCAGUCAAACAAACCAACAACCAACCAGUCAGUCAGCCAAUGAACAUUAGUCUAAAACGUAUGUGUCAUGUCAAAUAUAAACGAUGCGAAUAAUUUCCAGGAUAACAUCAUGGUUUAACACACAAAUACACAUCAUGCACGGACUGACACCGACAUAGGGACAUAACAAGAAUACAUGUAACAAUGUCUCUGGUCUAAGUAAAAUGGAAUAAAAAAAAAAUUGAAAUUGUUUUCAAGCAAUAAAAAAGGUAAAACAAGUGAAAUGGUAAAUGUCUAAAAAAGAGGAGUUAGACGUUUUAUAAAAAGAGUCACAGGAGUGCAGUUUAUAAGAGGAUAGACUUAAAAGUUAUUUCCAAUAGAGAUGCAGAAUUUUAAUAUUUCAACUGGAACUUUUUUGUUAUCUGAUAUAUUCCAUCAAAGUCCUCCCAUUAAGUAAUAGGUUUUCUAACAAUAUGGGAAAUUUAGAUCAUUGAUCGUUUUGCGUUUGGAAGAAAAACUUGAUUACGAAGAUCGAAUCAGCUAGAUCUUGCAUCUGUACCGUCCUAAGUCUAAAACUAAAUAUCGGUUACUAGACUUACCUCCAUUUUCUUAAUGUUUGGUUAUAUUUUAUUGGAUAUCUUAAAUGAUAACCGGAAGUUAACAUAACGGGAUUUAGUCUACGAAAUUCCAACUUCUUGUUCACAAAGAGGAAUUGUCAUCCCCAAACACCUACAAUGCUUUUUAGUCGUUGUAUUGUUGCGUGGUUGAUUGGUGAACCCGAUAUUAUCACUCUUUAGCUCUACUAAACUCGAUGUUCCAAACCGAUUUCAUUUCAAUUAUUUGGCUACAUUAUGUUUACUUUUUCACAUUAUCAGAUGGAAUUUCUAUUGGGAUAAUUUCCCGGUUUCGAGAAGAUCAGGCAAAAGUUCUCUUGUAUUGAUGUUACUCUCGACAAGAGAAACGAAAAGGGUUGUACAAUGUUUUUAAGUUCAUCGUUUUUAGCAUAAUUGUUUACGGCCCCCGAUACUCUCGCUCUCUCUCUCUUUGCCAAUACGCUCCAAGUACGAAAGACAAAGACACGUUAUUUAAUGGAAUCUCUAUUGUAUUAGGUUCCCUAAUCCGGGAAGAUGACUGAAAAGCGCUCUCUUGUAAACAGAAACGAAGCUGUUGUAGAACUCAUAGAGAAUUUAAAUUUGUAUUGGGUUAAAAUUAGAAUUAGAUACGAAGUCUACGAAAACCUAGUUCUUAUUCACAAAGCAAAUUGCAUUUCUCGGACAGCUACGAUGCUUUUUAGUCGAUCCUUUGUUUCGUUACUGUAUACGGAACACUAUACUUUCACUCUCCCCCUAUUUGCUAAUACGCCCCAAGUUCGAAUAUCAAUCUACAUUUCAAUUCAUAGGCUUUUUGUAGAGUAAUUUUUCCACACCAUUCAAUGAAAUGUCUAUUGCAUGAAGUUCCUGAUUCCGAGAAGAUAAUGGAAAAACGCUAUCGAUUUCAACAAAAGAAACGAAACUUUAGUUUCUUUGGUGCGAUUAAAUAUCGAUUGGUCAACUCCCAAUUUCUCUUGGAGUAAAGAGAAGUGCUGGUAAUGGAUAAUUCCACGUAAUAAGGCCGACAACGAGAUAUGAUCCCUUCUUUAGCUAUCUGGCUUUAGCUGCCAUCAAAUGUCAGCGGCUUCUACUCCCGAUUAUAAAGUUUGUGACGAAACGUUUGAGUCGAUCCUGAAUAGUAAUAAGAUAAGAAUG